rnacentral:rRNA from 1 species
GAAUAUUGGACAAUGGGGGCAACCCUGAUCCAGCCAUGCCGCGUGUGUGAAGAAGGCCUUUUGGUUGUAAAGCACUUUAAGCAGUGAAGAAACCUCCAUGGUUAAUACCCAUGGCCGAUGACCUUCCCUCCAGAAUACGCCCCCCCUCCCUCUGUCCCAGCAGCCGCGGUAAUACAGAGGGUGCAAGCGUUAAUCGGAAUUACUGGGCGUAAAGCGAGCGUAGGUGGCUUGAUAAGUCAGAUGUGAAAGCCCCGGGCUUAACCUGGGAACGGCAUCUGAUACUGUUAGGCUAGAGUAGGUGAGAGGAAGGUAGAAUUUCAGGUGUAGCGGUGAAAUGCGUAGAGAUCUGGAGGAAUACCGAUGGCGAAGGCAGCCUUCUGGCAUCAUACUGACACUGAGGUUCGAAAGCGUGGGUAGCAAACAGG